GUGAGUUGUUUUUAUUUACACAGGAGAGGAUUUCCCUGACCGUUUAGACACAGGAGAGGAUUUCCCUGACCGUUUUGACACAGGAGAGGAUUUCCCUGACCGUUUAGACACAGGAGAGGAUUUCCCUGACCGUUUUGACACAGGGGAGAAUUUCCCUGAAAGCUCCCUUGGUUUGUUAAGGGAGUUUGAAAAACUAAUGAAAACAACUAAAUAUAACAUAAAAUAUAUUAAUUGAUG
rnacentral:lncRNA from 1 species